GGCAAAACAAGGUAUGUAUUUAAACAAGAAUUUUGAUGUGUUCAGUGACAUUUACACAAUCAUGAGUUUGCUAUUGAGGAGGAAAUUCUAAAGUGCAUGAAAAGUACCCCAGACCCAUUUGUUGCAGGUCCUUGGCAUCUUCAGUUUCUUUCCUGUGGUCUAUUAUCCGACAAGCCAACCUUGAUUAAGGUUUCAGUUGGACUGUCUUCAUAACUUGGUCUCAGCUAUGAACUGCCUUGUUCAUAGCUUCAUCCGUUCCAGGAUCUCAGUCUCCCUUGAG